rnacentral:rRNA from 1 species
GUGGCGAACGGGUGAGUAACACGUGAGUAACCUGCCCCUGACUCUGGGAUAAGCCCGGGAAACUGGGUCUAAUACCGGAUAUGACUUCCUACUGCAUGGUGGGUUGUUGAAAGAUUUAUCGGUGGGGGAUGGACUCGCGGCCUAUCAGCUUGUUGGUGAGGUAAUGGCUCACCAAGGCGACGACGGGUAGCCGGCCUGAGAGGGUGACCGGCCACACUGGGACUGAGACACGGCCCAGACUCCUACGGGAGGCAGCAGUGGGGAAUAUUGCACAAUGGGCGGAAGCCUGAUGCAGCGACGCCGCGUGAGGGAUGACGGCCUUCGGGUUGUAAACCUCUUUCAGUAGGGAAGAAGCGAAAGUGACGGUACCUGCAGAAGAAGCGCCGGCUAACUACGUGCCAGCAGCCGCGGUAAUACGUAGGGCGCAAGCGUUAUCCGGAUUUAUUGGGCGUAAAGAGCUCGUAGGCGGUUUGUCGCGUCUGCCGUGAAAGUCCGAGGCUCAACCUCGGAUCUGCGGUGGGUACGGGCAGACUAGAGUGAUGUAGGGGAGACUGGAAUUCCUGGUGUAGCGGUGAAAUGCGCAGAUAUCAGGAGGAACACCGAUGGCGAAGGCAGGUCUCUGGGCAUUUACUGACGCUGAGGAGCGAAAGCAUGGGGAGCGAACAGGAUUAGAUACCCUGGUAGUCCAUGCCGUAAACGUUGGGCACUAGGUGUGGGGGACAUUCCACGUUUUCCGCGCCGUAGCUAACGCAUUAAGUGCCCCGCCUGGGGAGUACGGCCGCAAGGCUAAAACUCAAAGGAAUUGACGGGGGCCCGCACAAGCGGCGGAGCAUGCGGAUUAAUUCGAUGCAACGCGAAGAACCUUACCAAGGCUUGACAUGUGCCAGACCGCUCCAGAAAUGGGGUUUCCCUUCGGGGCUGGUUCACAGGUGGUGCAUGGUUGUCGUCAGCUCGUGUCGUGAGAUGUUGGGUUAAGUCCCGCAACGAGCGCAACCCUCGUUCCAUGUUGCCAGCACGUAGUGGUGGGGACUCAUGGGAGACUGCCGGGGUCAACUCGGAGGAAGGUGGGGAUGACGUCAAAUCAUCAUGCCCCUUAUGUCUUGGGCUUCACGCAUGCUACAAUGGCCGGUACAAUGGGUUGCGAUACUGUGAGGUGGAGCUAAUCCCUAAAAGCCGGUCUCAGUUCGGAUUGGGGUCUGCAACUCGACCCCAUGAAGUCGGAGUCGCUAGUAAUCGCAGAUCAGCAACGCUGCGGUGAAUACGUUCCCGGGCCUUGUACACACCGCCCGUCAAGUCACGAAAGUUGGUAACACCCGAAGCCGAUGGCCUAACCACCUU